CACCAUUUGAAGCAGGAUCUCCAGCGCAGGGAGCUGGGGACAGGUUCCCAGGGAGAGGAGGACCCACGCAAGGUGCUGACAGAAGGUUCAGCGGGCCAAGGCUAUGCGUGAGGCCUCGGGGGAGCCCUGGGGACCACCUCUGGCUCAUCCUGAGGAUUAUCGCAGAACCCUCCUCUGCUGGGUGUCUUCUGCAAUGUCUCCUUAUGACAAGGUGCCACUGCAGUCAGGCAGAGCCUUGCGUGCCAGCUCUGCCAUUUGUCGGCCGAGGCCUGUUCGGAUGAAGCACCUGUGGGGAACAGGGAGCCAGCUGAGUCCCUGUGGAGACUCCUGCAGCUGUGUGCCAUCCUCCCUCCUCAGCUCAUCUAAGCCUUCUCCUUGGGCGCUGGGCUGUGCCCCCUCCUUGGCUGUGACCCUGUGGGUGCCAUUUCCCUCCACGGGCUCCAGCUGUUCCAUGUUGCCCUGCUGGGCCCGGCGCUGGUGGGGGAGCUGGGGAAACUGUCGAGACACUCCCCUCAGUGCAGGGAAAACACCAAGCAGCUGGGAUUGAUCGCCCGAGGGCCCCCUCCCCACAGUGAGGCGAAGCCCAUUAGUGUUUUCUUCUCGUGGGGGGCAGGGCCAGCGGGGGGAGGCGCAGCUGGAGCCUG